GGAAUUCUUUUCUUCUCUUCCUCCUGAAUGGCUUGGGUUAUGUCUGGGGAUGAGUAGGAGCGUUUCAGUUUGGAGUGCUCUCGUUCCCGCUCAACAGCCACCUGUGGCUUGGGUUUGCGGGUUGGUGGGGUGGCUGGAGGGGUGGAUGAGGGAGCCAUUUCUGGUGGAUACAUCUGAACAGUGUUCGUUGGCGAGUGAUAGUAACGAAAGGUUCCAGUGAUUGGAUCCAGAAACUUUGCCCAACCGUCAGGCAGUCCUGGUAUUACCCUCCCCAUUUCUUCACUUCGUGCUCUGGUCAAUGGCUCCCGCUGGGACUUAUUUGGAGAUACAUCACCCAGUACACGUCUCUGCGUAUCCGGUGUUCGAGUUCCCUUUUCUCUUUUUUCUAUAGAUAUUUUGUCAGUCUCAACCUUUUUUGCAUCAAUGCUUUCUGGUUCAUUUUUAUUUUGCUUUUUUGCUUCUAUUGCUUCUUUGCGUGCUUUUUCUUUUUCCUUCUCCUCCUGUUCUCUUUUUAUCUGCUCAUCUCUCUCCUUCUGUUCCCUCUCCUCCUUGGAUUGCUGUAGCUUUUCUUUGUGUUCCUUUUCUCUCUGUUCUUCCUUUGCCUUUUGCUCCUGUUCUUCCUUUUCUCGCUUGAGUCUCUCUUUUUGUUCUUCCUUCUGCCUCUCCCGCAGUUCUUUUUCUCGUCUGUUUUUCUCCAUCAGAGCAGCAGUUUCUGCAUGCACACGGCUUUUUUCUUCUUCUGUCAGAACACUCUUAGCAUCAAGUAAUGGCUUUGUGGACCGGUCCGGAACCACGCGGCCCUUCUCAAUAGGUUGGCUGUCACUGA
rnacentral:lncRNA from 1 species